rnacentral:rRNA from 1 species
GAUGAACGCUGGCGGCGUGCCUAACACAUGCAAGUCGAACGUAAGAGCUUAGCAAUAGGCUCGAAAGUGGCGAACGGGUGAGUAACACGUAGGUAACCUGCCGCGCAGAGGGGGAUAACGACUAGAAAUGGUCGCUAAUACCGCAUGGUACUAGGGGGUGGGGACACCUUCUGGUUAAAACCUUGGUGCUGCGCGAGGGGCCUGCGCCCGAUUAGUUAGUUGGUGAGGUAACGGCUCACCAAGACGAUGAUCGGUAGCUAGUCUGAGAGGAUGAUUAGCCACACGGGAACUGAGACACGGUCCCGACUCCUACGGGGGGCAGCAGUGAGGAAUAUUGCACAAUGGACGAAAGUCUGAUGCAGCAACGCCGCGUGGAGGAUGACGGCCCUUGGGUUGUAAACUCCUUUUUUCAGGGAAGAGCGAGGACGGUACCUGAAGAAUAAGUCACGGCUAACUACGUGCCAGCAGCCGCGGUAAU